UGGAAACAUGUAAGGGUGUGG
rnacentral:siRNA from 1 species